AAAGAAUUAGUUAAUUUUAUAAUAUAAGUAUGUCAAUCUUAAGUCAGAGUAUACUAUUCUUUU
rnacentral:tRNA from 1 species